UUUUCUCAUCUAUAUAGGGCGUACCCAGUGCAGGAGGCUCCCGUCACUGUGGGGUCUAGGGAUGGUCAUAACGUACACAGCCUUAGCCCACUUCACGGAGAGGCUGUUUCCCUACUCGAACCUGGGACCACACGGUCACGAUGGAGCAACCAUACUGUUCCACCGAGGUCU